AUUGAACGCUGGCGGCAGGCCUAACACAUGCAAGUCGAGCGGAUGAAGGGAGCUUGCUCCUGGAUUCAGCGGCGGACGGGUGAUUAAUGCCUAGGAAUCUGCCUGGUAGUGGGGGAUAACGUCCGGAAACGGGCGCUAAUACCUCAUACGUCCUGAGGGAGAAAGUGGGGGAUCUUCGGACCUCACUCUAUCAGAUGAGCCUAGGUCGGAUUAGCUAGUUGGUGGGGUAAAGGCCUACCAAGGCGACGAUCCGUAACUGGUCUGAGAGGAUGAUCAGUCACACUGGAAAUGAGAGACGGUCAAGACUCCUACGGGAGGCAGCAGUGGGGAAUAUUGGACAAUGGGCGAAAGAAUGAUCCAGACAGGCCGCGUGUGUGAAGAAGGUAUUCGGAGUGUAAAGCACAUUAAGUUGGGAGGAAGGGCAGUAAGUGAAGACCUUGAUGUAUUGACGUUACCAACAGAAGAAGCACCGGCUAACUUCGUG
rnacentral:rRNA from 1 species